UGCUCUAGAGAAGAGAAUAAAGUUCUCUGGGGAGCUCUUCAAAGGGGAAGGUUCCUGGAUCCCAUCUCUGAGAUUGUGAUCAGGUUCAUUGGUUUAUUCAGCAAACAUUUACUGAACGCGUGCCAUGUAUCAGGCACUGUCACAGGCCCUCAAAAUACAAAUUGCAAAUGGAUCUCAUCACAAAGAAGCUCACAUUGCGGUGAAUGAAUGGCAACAGCUCAUUGUACCUUGGAGCAUAUGUAGAAACUGUGUUGUAAAUGGAAUUACAAAAAGGCACAGGAUCACAAAGGGAAGUCCAGUUUUAUAA